rnacentral:lncRNA from 1 species
GGACAACACUAAACAAACCACCAUGACUAAAACUAGACAAAAUGAAAGGACAAAAGGGUUUGAGUCGCAAGACAAUAUACGGAUUAUCACCCUGAAAAUAACCCUGGACAAUAGAAAUGACAACAACAUCAGCCACAAAAACUCUUCCCUGGAUAACCAGAAGAUGGAGGAUAUUUUCAAUCAUAAAACUCAAGUUGGCAACGGAUUUUGGUUGAUGUUCAGCACCUCUAGGUCUUAAC